AAAUAAAUAAAGUUGAAAAAAUUAAACUUGACUCAAGACACAUUAUGGGAAACGCGUUUCUUUCACGAUCUAUCUUAUCCUUUCAUCGAUAGAAGUUAGCAAUAGCAUUAUUCUCAUAUUGGCGGAAUUAUUAGGGUUGUUUGUCUCCUUAUAUAGUCACAGACUCUCGAGAUAAUUCAUAUUUCAAGACUAGCUAUUUUUUAGAGAUGCAUUAUAUUUAAAAUUCAUUUCUUCGUUCGAGCAUGCGGGGUGUUAAGCAGGGGCUGAGGAAGAGCAUUAAUCGCGGGUUCGAACGAACUCAACUUAAAUUUUGUAUUUAUAUUAGUAAAUACAUAAAAUAUCUAUAAAUAUUUAAUUAUGAACCUAAUAACUAAGAUAAACUAUGAGUUCGUGAUAUAUUGAGAAUCUAUAAACUUUAAAUCCUAACUCCGUAUCUGAUGUUAAGGUGUUCCACAUUUGUUGAGGGAUGGGUUGUUAUAUGGUCUUGGGCAAGAGUUGGAGUCACUGACCUUGUUUUUGUUUUUUUUGGAAAAUUUCUAGGAAACCGUAGCCGCUUCUAUUCGGGUGUGCAUUUGAUAACUAAUUCACUGUGCAAUUGCUCGCAAAUCAUAUAGAAGAUAUAAAUCGCAUUAGGCACGCCCGGUACGACUAGCUCUGACUGAGGAGACUACUGGUGAGGAGAAUCGAUCUCAGAUCUCCCAUGUGAGAAAUCACUCACCCAACUAACUCAAUCAACCCGGAGGCGGGCGUAACUUCACAGUAAGUCUUUGUGAAGGCUUUCUUUUUGUCAUUUUUCUCCCUUGUUUAGAACAAGUUGUUCUGACAGUUGCACGAGACAUUAUUAAGUUCUAUAAAUAGGGGAGAAACAUUGUUUUCCUUUUUACAGUAAAAAACUGAAACUCCAAAUAGCUCAUCAAAAUGUUUUCCAAAACUAACCUUUUUCUUUGCCUUUCUUUGGCUAUUUUGCUAAUUGUAAUAUCCUCACAAGCUGAUGCAAGGGAGACGUCUAAGGCAGCUGCUCCAAUUUCCCAAGGUUUAUUUACUUCUUCUAUCUAUUACUACUCCAGUAGUUAUUUUCAUUUUUAACAUUUUGAGUCUGCGAACGGAUGUUAUAAAUGUUUAAAUAUUCAUGUAACAUUUGGCUUAGAAUUUUGUGAUAUUAAAUAUAUCAUAAUAUCUUAUAAAGAAAUCUCAUUAAUGAAAAAAUUGGAAUUUCGGAAUUAAAUAAUUAUUAAACGUUGGUAGCAUUCUUUGCUGGAGUGAUUUAAAAGGAAAGUAAAACACAUGAUUGAAACGAAGGGAGUAAAUGUUUACAUAAGUAUUAUUUAACAUUUUGCUGAAAGUUUAAUGUCGUUUUGAAACUUUCUGAGACCUUCUACCUGUAUAAUAUUUAGUAAUCUAAGGAUAUCGCAACACCGCAAAAGUUUUUCUUUUUAUCUUUAUUGAAUUUGGUGAUUACUUUUUAUAAUAGUUUAAAUUCUAUUGCUAGAGCAAGGACACUUCAUUUGAAGUAGCGACCUGUCCUGCCAAAUGUGUGAUCAUUUUAUUUAAAACUUAAGUUAUUAGAGGAGGAACCUACGUUCAUCCUAAUUUAUUUAUGUUUGCAGCACUGAGAAUUAAUAUGGUCAUAAAUUAAUUUCCUCCUUUAUUGGUUAACCUAUAACUAAUACAUUACUCUACAUAACCUAAUUUGAUGCAGAAAUGAAUUCAAACAACAUUACUGAUCAGAAGACGGGUGCCGGAAUCAUCCGUAAGAUACCAAAACGUCCAAAACCAGGAGGCAAUAUCGCCGGUGUGAGUUUAGUUUUGAGAAUAAAGGGAAAGUUAUGAAUAGCCUAAUAUAAUUCUAUUCACUUUCCUCUAGUUAAUUUCUCUUAGUUUGUGUUUUGUUUUGUUAGUAGUUCCUAUUGUUGCAACUUGCAACAAGUCUUGGGUCAACAUGUACCUCUUGUCUUGUAGUCUUUCGACCGUAUGAUAUUAUACGAUUUUUCUUUAGCCACUUGUUAUCUGAAACCAAAUCCAAUUAAAUCUAAUUCGCGUUGCAUAGGUUCUACUACAGUUAGACCUCUUUAUAACAUCUUUAUAUAAUAGUCAUUCAAUGUAAAAGCCAAGUUUUUCUUCGAACCCAUUUUUAUAUUAUGUUAUAAUAUAUGUUUUCUAUAACAACACUUCACUAUAGUAGUCAAAAAAUAUCGGAGCAAACGAGGAUGUUAUAAAGAGGUUUGACUGUACAAGAAAACGGUUUCUAUGAAAAAGUUUAUCAUUUUUAGAGUUGGG
rnacentral:lncRNA from 1 species